UACCUGGUUGAUCCUGCCAGUAAUCAUAUGCUUGUCUCAAAGAUUAAGCCAUGCAUGUCUAAGUACAUGCCGAAAUAAGGCGAAACCGCGAAUGGCUCAUUAAAUCAGUUAUGGUUCCUUAGAUCGUUUCUUCCUACUUGGAUAACUGUGGCAAUUCUAGAGCUAAUACAUGCAGUGAGCCUGGAGCCCUUUGGGUAACGGGUGCUUUUAUUAGACCAAGAUCGAUCGGGUUUCGGCCCGUAUUGUGUGGUGACUCUGGAUAACUUUGUGCUGAUCGCAUGGCCACGAGCCGGCGACGUUUCUUUCAAGUGUCUGCCUUAUCAACUUUCGAUGGUAGGUUACUUGCUUACCAUGGUUGUUACGGGUAACGGAGAAUCAGGGUUCGAUUCCGGAGAGGGAGCCUGAGAAACGGCUACCACAUCCAAGGAAGGCAGCAGGCGCGCAAAUUACCCACUCCCGGCACGGGGAGGUAGUGACGAAAAAUAACAAUACGGGACUCUUUUGAGGCCCCGUAAUUGAAAUGAGUACACUCUAAAUCCUUUAACGAGGAUCAAUUGGAGGGCAAGUCUGGUGCCAGCAGCCGCGGUAAUUCCAGCUCCAAUAGCGUAUACUAAAGCUGCUGCGGUUAAAAAGCUCGUAGUUGGAUCUCAGUUCCAGACGAGUAGUGCAUCUACCCGAUGCGACGGCUCGGACUGAACAUCAUGCCGGUUCUUUCUUGGUGCACUUCAUUGUGUGCCUCGAGAUGGCCGGUGCUUUUACUUUGAAAAAAUUAGAGUGCUCAACGCAGGCGAGUCGCCUGAAUAAACUUGCAUGGAAUAAUAGAACAAGACCUCGUUUCUGUUCUGUUGGUUUUUGGAAUACGAGGUAAUGAUUAAGAGGGACGGACGGGGGCAUUCGUAUUGCGGCGCUAGAGGUGAAAUUCUUGGACCGUCGCAAGACGAACUACUGCGAAAGCAUUUGCCAAGAAUGUUUUCUUUGAUCAAGAACGAAAGUCAGAGGUUCGAAGGCGAUCAGAUACCGCCCUAGUUCUGACCAUAAACGAUGCCAACCAGCGAUCCGCCUGAGUUACUCAAAUGACUCGGCGGGCAGCUUCCGGGAAACCAAAGUAUUUGGGUUCCGGGGGAAGUAUGGUUGCAAAGCUGAAACUUAAAGGAAUUGACGGAAGGGCACCACCAGGAGUGGAGCCUGCGGCUUAAUUUGACUCAACACGGGAAAACUUACCCGGCCCGGACACUGGGAGGAUUGACAGAUUGAGAGCUCUUUCUUGAUUCGGUGGAUGGUGGUGCAUGGCCGUUCUUAGUUGGUGGAGCGAUUUGUCUGGUUAAUUCCGAUAACGAACGAGACUCUAGCCUAUUAAAUAGGUGCGGGGUUCCCAGCACCUUACAACCUUCUUAGAGGGACAAGCGGCUCCUAGCCGCACGAAACAGAGCAAUAACAGGUCUGUGAUGCCCUUAGAUGUCCGGGGCCGCACGCGCGCUACACUGAAGGAAGCAGCGUGUCUUUAUCCCUGUCUGAAAAGACUGGGUAACCCGUGGAACUUCUUUCGUGAUUGGGAUAGGGGCUUGCAAUUGUUCCCCUUGAACGAGGAAUUCCCAGUAAGCGCGAGUCAUAAGCUCGCGUUGAUUACGUCCCUGCCCUUUGUACACACCGCCCGUCGCUACUACCGAUUGAAUGAUUUAGUGAGGUCUUCGGACCGAUGUCCGGCGCGGCCUUUCGGUUGCGCCGGUCUGUUGGAAAGAUGACCAAACUUGAUCAUUUAGAGGAAGUAAAAGUCGUAACAAGGUUUCCGUAGGUGAACCUGCGGAAGGAUCAUUA
rnacentral:rRNA from 1 species